UAUUGCACAAUGGGGGAAACCCUGAUGCAGCAACGCCGCGUGAGUGAAGAAGUAUUUCGGUAUGUAAAGCUCUAUCAGCAGGGAAGAAGAAAGACGGUACCUGACUAAGAAGCCCCGGCUAACUACGUGCCAGCAGCCGCGGUAAUACGUAGGGGGCAAGCGUUAUCCGGAUUUACUGGGUGUAAAGGGAGCGUAGACGGCAGCACAAGUCUGGAGUGAAAUGCCGGGGCUUAACCCCGGAACUGCUUUGGAAACUGUGCAGCCAGAGUGCAGGAGAGGUAAGUGGAAUUCCUAGUGUAGCGGUGAAAUGCGUAGAUAUUAGGAGGAACACCAGUGGCGAAGGCGGCCUGCUGGACAGAAACUGACGUUGGGGCUCGAAAGCGUGGGGAGCAAACAGG
rnacentral:rRNA from 1 species